GUAGCUUCUCCUCGCGCCCCUACCCACCUUCUUCUUCCCAUAUCCUUCCGGGCCGCACCACCUUCCUUCCUCGAACCACCACCUCCACCGCCGGUCGCCAGAUCCAAGCCUCCGAGCGCCCGACCCCGAGCCCCCACCCACGACCAACUCCACCCACGACCAACUCCACCGCGCCCCUACCCACUUCCCACGACCAAUUGAUCAGCGAUGUAGGUGGUGCCGGCAUGCCGCCGCCGGUAAUGGCAAGCAAAACCGCGCGCCCGACCCCCGCGCUAUCCCGGCCUCCUCGCCGGAUCCCUCGACGGCCACCCCUCAGCUAGAUCUCACAGCGGCCUCCCACCAUUGGGACACCCGUGAUUCGAUAGGGCACUGACCGGAUCUGAGCUCCACAGGGUCAAGUACAACCCACGAUGGAGUUACAGGCAGCGCCGCCACUGGCCUCCGGCCAACCGCUCCAUCCCCUCGACUACCAUCUCGUUUGACCACUCCCUUUCCUCAACCUCCAUCUCGGUCGCCCCCUACCUCCUCUCGACCUCAUUACCGCCCAGCCCCACUCCCCUCCCUUGCGGGAUCCGCUGCUGGGUACAACAAGCCAUGACCGGAAACUGUCGACGUGCAGUUCAGAGUUUGCAAAAAUCUUGGUACUGUAGCUCAUCGCCGGCUGCUGAUGAUGCUACAGCGAGCUGCAGGAGAGCUCUACCCCCGACGCGGCGUGGAGCUCGCCGGUCCAUGGCGUGCAGUUCGCCGGGCCAUGCAGUGCGGUUCACCAGCCUGCGGAGGCUGCACAGGUGUACAAUGGAGGAUGGUGGCGCCGAUGACAGAGGCGGCGCGUAGUCCUCUCGCCCCUCGAGUCAGGACAGCAGCGGUGCAGUCACCAGCCUCGAGCAACCACUUCCCGUCCCGCAGCUAGCGCCACCAACUAGCGAGGAUGCGGGAGCAGCACCUCCCUGCUCACCUGAUGGAUCCGUCCCCGUGCACUCCUCUGGUUCCACCCACUGGAGCAGAGCAUGGCGGCAAGCCUUCCCAUGGUCGCACCUCCGCCUCCCGUCAGAGUCCACAUAAGCCACCGGCAUGGAAGAAGGCCAGCGCCGGCAGCCGCUCCUCACCCUGUGAGCGCAGGCGUGUCCUGUACGAGCGCAAGACGAGGCCGCUGCCCAUGUCGCAGAUGGUGAGUUUCAGAACUUGCAGCUCGCCCGCAAGUGGCUCGUGGUUCGCGCAACUCGAGCGUGCAGCCCACUAUUAAUGUUUCGCGUGAGCGUCGUGGUGUCCGCCGACGAAGCAGCUCCGACCUGGUCGAUGGGGCACUGCAGCCCACAUCGCACAACAGUGUGCCCCACUUCCUCCUACAUGCAGUACACUAUCACAGCCAGGGGAGAGUGAUGCACUGAACAGCACCUUCUUGACGCUUUGCUCAUGCUGCUUGCUUCAGAGCUUGGUGAACAGUUCAGAACUUUUUGUGUAGAUUUGUGUGUUUUUUGUGCAGGUCGCAUGCGUGCCAAGUCGAGCUGUGUGUGUUGUGUUGGACAAGAUGCAGUACGGACGGUGAUGCCGUGCAGCUCAUUUGGGAUGUGUGGUUCGGCAGCCCCCUGAUACAUCUUAUUUUGCAGUUUCUUGCUGUGUUCCGUGAUCUAUGUGCUGUGUUGGGUCAGAGUGCGAAGGGAAAUACGACUUACGUCCGGUCCAGAGCUCCUCCCUUCUAUUCGAAAAAAGGUUCACUGGGUGUGCGUCUGCCGCUCGGCGUGCAGCGCGUGCAGUUCGCUAUUGUGGGAAUUGUUGUUGUUGGAAAAUAUCUGUAAUUAAUUUGUUGAGAAGUUCAAUUAAAGAUGCAUGAAUGGUUUCAUUUUCA